CCCAGAUAGUUCCAUGGCAAAGGAUGAACCGAAACAUUCAAUAAGUGCAGAACAAAAGAUUUGAUAGAAAGCGGAGUAGAAGGACUAAAUAGAAUAACUGACUUUGCAACAUUAACAGCCUAACCCGAGUACACAACGUAAGUAUCAAUUAUCACAGUAACACAGGCCGCUCCCUUAAUAGUAGCUUUUCCAAUUAACAGAUAGUUAUUAGCAUAGAAAAGAUGGGAAAGAGCCAGCCCACCUCUUGGCCUAUAAGGUUAUAACAAUUG
rnacentral:lncRNA from 1 species